rnacentral:rRNA from 1 species
GACGAACGCUGGCGGCGUGCUUAACACAUGCAAGUCGAACGGAAAGGCCCUGCUUUUGUGGGGUGCUCGAGUGGCGAACGGGUGAGUAACACGUGAGUAACCUGCCCUUGACUUUGGGAUAACUUCAGGAAACUGGGGCUAAUACCGGAUAGGAGCUCCUGCUGCAUGGUGGGGGUUGGAAAGUUUCGGCGGUUGGGGAUGGACUCGCAGCUUAUCAGCUUGUUGGUGGGGUAGUGGAUUACCAAGGCUUUGACGGGUAGCCGGCCUGAGAGGGGGGCCGGCCACAUUGGGACUGAGAGACGGCCCAGACUCCUACGGGAGGCAGCAGUGGGGAAUAUUGCACAAUGGGCGGAAGCCUGAUGCAGCAACCCCGCGUGCGGGAUGACGGCCUUCGGGUUGUAAACCGCUUUCGCCUGUGACGAAGCGUGAGUGACGGUAAUGGGUAAAGAAGCACCGGCUAACUACGUG